UACGAAGGGUGCAAGCGUUACUCGGAAUUACUGGGCGUAAAGCGUGCGUAGGUGGUUUGUUAAGUCUGAUGUGAAAUCCCCGGGCUCAACCUGGGAAUGGCAUUUGGGACUGCAAGGCUGGAGUGCGGCAGAGGAGACUGGAAUUCCUGGUGUAGCAGUGAAAUGCGUAGAGAUGUGGAGGAACACCGAUGGCGAAGGCAGCCUCCUGGGCCAGCACUGACGCUCAUGCACGAAAGCGUGGGGAGCAAACAGG
rnacentral:rRNA from 1 species